rnacentral:rRNA from 1 species
UACGUAGGGUGCGAGCGUUAAUCGGAAUUACUGGGCGUAAAGCGUGCGCAGGCGGCUUUGCAAGACAGAUGUGAAAUCCCCGGGCUUAACCUGGGAACUGCAUUUGUGACUGCAUGGCUAGAGUGCGGCAGAGGGGGAUGGAAUUCCGCGUGUAGCAGUGAAAUGCGUAGAUAUGCGGAGGAACACCGAUGGCGAAGGCAAUCCCCUGGGCCUGCACUGACGCUCAUGCACGAAAGCGUGGGAGCAAACAGG